rnacentral:rRNA from 1 species
CAGUAGCCACGGGAAUACGAAGGGUGCAAGCGUUAAUCGGAAUUACUGGGCGUAAAGCGUGCGUAGGCGGUUUGUUAAGUCUGUUGUGAAAUCCCCGGGCUCAACCUGGGAAUGGCAAUGGAUACUGGCAAGCUAGAGUGUGUCAGAGGAUGGUGGAAUUCCCGGUGUAGCGGUGAAAUGCGUAGAGAUCGGGAGGAACAUCAGUGGCGAAGGCGGCCAUCUGGGACAACACUGACGCUGAGGCACGAAAGCGUGGGGAUCAAACAGGAUUAGAUACCCCCGUAGUCCCUGUCUCUUAUAC